rnacentral:rRNA from 1 species
AUACGGAGGAUGCGAGCGUUAUCCGGAUUUAUUGGGUUUAAAGGGUGCGUAGGCGGACGCUUAAGUCAGUUGUGAAAGUUUGCGGCUCAACCGUAAAAUUGCAGUUGAUACUGGGUGUCUUGAGUACAGUAGAGGCAGGCGGAAUUCGUGGUGUAGCGGUGAAAUGCUUAGAUAUCACGAAGAACUCCGAUUGCGAAGGCAGCCUGCUUGACUGUAACUGACGCUGAUGCUCGAAAGUGUGGGUAUCAAACAGGAUUAGAUACCCUGGUAGUCCACACAGUAAACGAUGAAUACUCGCUGUUUGCGAUAUACAGUAAGCGGCCAAGCGAAAGCGUUAAGUAUUCCACCUGGGGAGUACGCCGGCAACGGUGAAACUCAAAGGAAUUGACGGGG